rnacentral:rRNA from 1 species
UGGGGAAUUUUGGACAAUGGGCGAAAGCCUGAUCCAGCAAUGCCGCGUGUGUGAAGAAGGCCUUCGGGUUGUAAAGCACUUUUGUCCGGAAAGAAAUCCUUGGCUCUAAUGCAGUCGGGGGAUACGGUACCGGAAGAAUAAGCACCGGCUAACUACGUGCCAGCAGCCGCGGUAAUACGUAGGGUGCAAGCGUUAAUCGGAAUUACUGGGCGUAAAGCGUGCGCAGGCGGUUUGCUAAGACCGAUGUGAAAUCCCCGGGCUCAACCUGGGAACUGCAUUGGUGACUGGCAGGCUAGAGUAUGGCAGAGGGGGGUAGAAUUCCACGUGUAGCAGUGAAAUGCGUAGAGAUGUGGAGGAAUACCGAUGGCGAAGGCAGCCCCCUGGGCCAAAUACUGACGCUCAUGCACGAAAAGGCGUGGGGAGCAAAACAGGAUUAGAUACCCUGGUAGUCCACGCCCCUAAAACGAUGUCAACUAGUUGUUGGGGGAUUCAUUUCCUUAGUAACGUAGCUAACGCGUGAAGUUGACCGCCUGGGGAGUACGGUCGCAAAAAUUUAAAAACUUAAAGGAAUUGACGGGGUCAUAGCUGUUUCUU